GCCUGCUUCGGCAGCACAGAGACUAAAAUUGGAACGGCAUAGCGAACUUGAGCACAGCUCCUGUGAAAGGGCGACGUGCAAAUUUGUGGAACGGUCCAUAUUUUU